rnacentral:rRNA from 1 species
GCUCAGUCCUAAACAUCGAUCGUCCGAUCCGCCUGGGAAUUACGAACACUAGUCUGAAACCCAAAGGACUUGGCGGUGCUUUACAUCCACCUAGAGGAGCCUGUCCUAUAACCGAUAAACCCCGUUCAACCUCACCCUCUCUUGUCCGCCUAUAUACCGCCGUCGUCAGCUUACCCUGUGAAGGCCCAAUAGUAAGCACAAUCGGCACAGCCCAGUACGUCAGGUCGAGGUGUAGUGUAUGAGAGGGGAAGAGAUGGGCUACAUUCGCUCGAGCAUUGAAAGAAGGAGGAUUUAGUAGUAAGCCGGAAACAGAGUGUCCCGCUGAAAUUGGCUCUAAAGCGCGU